UUCUGUUUAGUGUGGCAGACCACCGACAGAGCCAGAGGCAGCUUGCAAAUUGAGCUGUCCUCAUGCUGGUGAAAAUUCAGUAUCAAUGAGUGAAGAAAUUUGUGGAACUGCUUAACGAUUGUGCAUUCCAAGUUUUUCUCAAUGAAGUUAAAAGACAGACACCGAUGUGGAAGAGGACGCAAAUUGAAGGCAUCUGCAUUUAAGAUGUCCAGAAGAAAUUGUUUCUGCUGGCAUACCUGAAGUCACCCACAGGAUCCUCAACCCUCAGCACAAGUACUCAUUCUCUCACUCUCUUCAGCUGACCAUGAGACAGAGCAGUGCAAAAUCAAUAGGCAUCGGCUAGCAAAAGCUUUAGCAUAGAUGCUAAGGCAAACGGAUUGUCCAAGACACCCUGGAAAAACAAUACAGUGAUGAGGAUGAAAACUAAGAUGAGACAGACUUGUGCACUUCCAUAAGUCCUGCACCAGUAUUGAAGCCCAUCUCAGUCAGAGGGAGGACCACCAGCCAUACCUACUGCUAUUGAGAAGGAUCAGAGGCAGGAUCACCUUAUUCUAUGUGGUUGGACAAGCUUCUCAUCUAUACCGAAGGAACCAGCUCCUUGAGUACUAUUGAAC